rnacentral:lncRNA from 1 species
CGGGCCUUCCUCAUGGUCGCCUCGGUGGCUUGAUCGACACUUCUCGGAGAGUGCGCGAGCUUCUGAACCUUGCUCUCCGAGCAAGGUUCGUCUCCGCCCGCGACAUCUUUGUCGUGGGCCGGGGGCAUGUCCCGGCCAAUCCUCCCCUCGGGCGGGGACAACGAGCCCUCCUCGUUGCCCCCGAAGCCGAGGUCCAUGAACUGCCUAGGCACCAAUAGGCCAUUGUCAUGGCCAUUCUUACUUUCCUCUGCAGUAGCCCCUCCAGUUUGAUUAUCACUACGCUGAUGCAUCAUUGUUAACACAUGCAUCUGCAGUCCAUUGUAGUUGUUAGUCAUUUGAUCCAACAUCUCCUUCAAACGAGCAUUCUCCGAAUUCAUCCUCUCCAUUUCCGAUUGAAGAAACGCCAUCUGUCACAAAAUAAAUUCGAUCAUCCAUUGAUUAAUACAAGAUUUUAUCACCUAAAAGAGUUUCAAAAUCAUUGAUGACGACGAAACGCGAUUCAAUUGGUAAAGAGUAAACCCUAACACACUUCUGAGACGAUUCUCCUUCAAUCAGUAGGUCGGAAGAUUUCAAGAAUUAUUCUCCGGAAUAAUUCCAAUAAUAUUCCUCGAUAUAUCUUACCUCGAUUUUCGAUCUUUUAUUCUCCGGAAUCGAGGACAUCCCGUCGUCGACUCCGGACUCUUCGCUGCCGGUGUUCGCCGUCGUAAGAAGAUGCAAACCGGUCUGCCGAAAGAGAAAAAGAAAUCAAAACCCACCUAAAAAAAAUCCCAGAAAAAAGAAAAAGUAAAGAAACACACAUUGACUUUAAAAUCCAAACGGUGAUGCUCAAUCCCGACGUUCUCCUCCUCCUCGUCAUCGCGGCCGCCGCCGCUGCCGCCCUCGUUCUUGUCGGCGAAGAAAUCCGUCUCGUCGAGGACCUUCCUCUUCCCGUGAUCGCCGUGGCUGACGGGGGCGUCCAUGAGCGGCGGCGACGGCGGUGGCGGGGGUGGAAACCUAGGUAGAAUCUGCUGGAGCUUGAGCUGGUUAUUAUGGAAGUGGGUUUUGGCUUGAUGGUGAAACAGUCUGGUGAUACUGUGGUGAUCUGUCAACAUUGGCUUGAUGAGCCCAUCCGUCAAAGUCGUGGUCGAUGUAAGAGCCGCUUUCAGUAUGCUUAAACCCUAGACCAACAAAAAUGUCAUCUAACAAAUUAUAAAUUUGGUCGAUUUUUGGUUUUGCACACCAACUUUACAACUGGUAUAAAAACAACACAAACUUUGAGAUUUUCAUCCAAAAUAAUUUGCCCAAUGGCAUAAAUCGCGCAAGUUGGCUUCGAUGUGGCACUGCUACGAUUGGAAUUUAUGCCACCGAGUUGCAACGCCAACUUUAAUUUUUGCGGAAAUCUCAAUCGUGACAAAAUUACUACAGUUGUCAAGUUGGUGUGGAAAACCAAAUACAAGCCAAAAUUGGUGUAUUUUAAUGCAAAUACGACGACCAAUCUUACCUCUUCCAACCCGAUUUCCAGCUCUAGUUCCACCACAUCAGAUAGAGCGACCUUCAUCUCGUUGAUAACAGAAACACAAGAGGUUAUACUCAAUGGCGUAACAGUUAGAUCAUCACUUACCAUAUACAUGCUUGAUCCCUUGACAUAAUCUUUAUUUUCACUCAAGGCAAAAUUGAGAGGAAGAUACUCGUUACAAAAACCAUUGUGAGAAGUCCUCUCUCUAGAAGAAGUCUCAUUAAACAUGGUCGGUUUGAAUAGCAUAUCCUUUGCCUCUGUAGUCAUAAUAUUAUAGCAGUACAAACUAUCCGGUAUGCUCCGGUGCAAAUUAUCCGUGGUCCUAACGCCGGUGUUGCUGUGCAAAAACCAUUCCACCCUCCCUAGAGGAAUGGCGAGUAAGCCAAAUAGAAAACUAACAAAAUCAUGACGAGCCUGAGCAAACAGCAACUUAUUUGUAGAUUUCUGCAUCAUGGCUGUCAAAUGAAUCUUCUUGGGGUUCAUACAAUGGGCUCGCUUGCCAAUCUGAUUCACGGCGUUCCCCUGUCUGGCUGCUCGUCUGGUCGGGGUCCCAAUGAGGAGUGCGGUAAGUGGAUUUUGAGAAACAAACAUCAUCCCCAUUAAACUCAUCAUCUGAUCAAUACAAAGACAAGUGAAUGUUAUGCUACAUACGUUAUGUCAGCACCAUUUCUCGUUUAGUCCAUGCUAGCAUUAUUUUUUUGUUUUAUAUAUUUAUUUUGAUUCUAAUAUCUCAAAAAUUAUUAUUGAAGCCAUUAAUUUUACAAAUUACAUAAAAAACAAAGCUCGAUUUGUUCAUUCUCCCUAUAACUUCAAUUUCAAAUAAACAAAUAAAAGAAUAAAAUGAGCUUUGAUUUUUAUGUAAUAAUGACGUCAAUAACUAUUUCUGGGUAUUAGAAUCAAAAUAAAUGUAUAAAACAAAACAAAAUGCUAAUGUGGACUAAACGAGACUGACAUUUCGGGGGGCCUCGGCGAAAACCAAAAAAAUGGGCCCUUAAGAAAAUGAAAUUUUGAAAAUCUUGUUGCCAACUAGAGAUAACAUAUAAUGGUCUUCUAUGUUUGCAUGAGUACUGCAUAAUUUUAAUAUUAACUAUAAAGUGCCAUAAAUCAUAAACACUCAUCAAAUAACUAUUGAUAAAAUCAAUAGUUAUUAUCAAUAGUGUAAGAUUGAUAAAAUCAAUAGUGUAAGAUUGAUAAAAUCAUAUUAUUAUCAAGAUCAAGUUUUUCUAAUACCUCAUUUUCAAUGCAAUUCUAGCAUAAUAGAAUGUAAAAUAUGAUUUUAUCAAUCUUACACUAUGAUGAUAUAUUCGCACGUACAAUCCUACUAGUUAUUCUGAAAGGAGACUACUUUGAGAAAUAUACAAAUUCUAACCUCAGCGUAUCCGAAAUCCAGAUCACAUAUCUCAGCCCCAUCCAUAUCUGUGAUAGCAAUGCCAAGGCUGCGGAGAGUAGACAUGACAGAACCUUCCACACUACGCAUUACCUUCAAAUCAUCGCUGAUGAUGAAGGAAGCUGUAGUUUCGGUGAAGACCUCAUCAAGUGGAAGCUGUUCGUCUUCAUCGAGACUUGUUGGAUUAAGCAGCAAGAUCUUAGCAUCCUCAGUCAGGAAAUGGAUGGUGUCGAGAUUUGCUAAGCCGUUGUACAGAGUUUUCAAGCUUCCAGCUAGGAGCACCUUCUCUCCAAACUGCUUCUUCAAGACCUUCACAAUCGUUCCCAAUGGAAGAGGCAGGAAGCUUAACAAAGCGUCUACGAAAUCGCUGCCGGCUUCUGCAAAUAGUACCUUGGUUUUCCCUUUAUUCAUUAUUAACUUGACAUGAAUCUUUUCUUCCUCCUCAGACAUUCUCUGUGACAAAAUUUUGGACUGAUUAAAUCAGGAAUGCUCAACAAAAUAUUGCAAUUUUUUUAAAUUUAUUGUCAUAACCUACAUUAUUACACAUAAGAAAUUAGAACUUGCUUUGAAGAUUAUGAUUUGACAUUUGGGAUAAAAGUUUUCUUCCCAAGCAGCACUAGUUCUUACUAAUUCUUAAAAACCUUACCAUCAAACUAUUUCUCCAAAAGCUAUUAUCUCAAUUAUCCUAAAUGGCAAACCAAACACAAAAGAUACAAAUAUCUAGUAACCUUAAAGAGUUGCAAGAGUUGCAUUGCUGCUUGAUAUUUGUGUUCUUACGUAAGCAUUCACUUUCCACAAACACCUGGUGUGCAUUACGAUUUUAACUUUUGAUUCUGAUUAUGCCGUUUUGAGAAAUUCUCAAUUCACAAUUUUAGUCAAACAGUUCCAUUAAAUAAGAAUAACUGAUAAACAAUGAAUAUAGACACAAACAAAUCUAUACAUACCUUGUUACGAAUUGGGGAAUUUUAGUUGCUUUGAAGUGUUUGCAGAGAAUUGAGAAAAGCAGCAGUCGCAAGAGUUUGGGCGGUCAAGCGAAUUUUAUAGAGGCUGUGAAAAUAGGGAAAAUAUCGUAUAAUGUCCCAAUUUUAGGUCAAAUAUAAAAAAACAUCUCAACUUCUCAAAAUAGUGGAAAAUAGGCCCUAAAAAAUAGUGGAACAUAAAUACUACUGUAAAAAUAAUAAUAUUUCGCAACUGAUAAAAGAUAUAAUUAUGUAUUUUUUAUUCUCAUUAUUAGGAUAUUUUCAAUGGCACUCUUUUAAUGGAUAUGAAUUAAUCAAAAUUAGCUCAAAUGAUAAAAAUUAUCAAGGGCCUUAAAUAUUUUAAAGUUCCAAUAUAUCUUAAUAUAUACUCCCUCCAUGCCGGCUAUCUUGAGACCUUUUCUUUGGCACAAGAACUAAGAAAAUAGUGUUUUACGUGUAGGUGAAAAUGUGAAUAAGGAUAAAUUUUUUGUCAAAUAAGGAAAUAUCUCAAGAUAAGUGAGACGCCCAAAAAAGAAAGUGUCUCGAGAUAGAUGGAACAAAGGGAAACAAAUUUAGCCUUAUUCUAAUUGUUAACUAGCAUUAAUGUUAACCUUCAAAAGCAAGUUCAAGUUUGAUUUAUAUAGUAUUGUCGACAAAUUCAAACUUGGUUUUUUACAUAACAUAUUCAAAGUUUCGAAGUUUAAUCGAAUAUAUAUUAUUUGAAAUAUAUAUACACCCAAACCAUUACUUCUUUAUGAGAUAAAAUUACUUAUUUUGGGGGGAAAAAGAAAUAGGAGAAGAAGAAAUAUCCAUUUAAAAGAAAUUAAUGUUAGAUUUUAAAUUCAAAAAGUAGUUAAAAAUAAUAUUUUUGUAAGCAUGACUAAAAUAAUACAUUUGUUAUUAAUAUCAAAAAGGUUUAUAUACACUAGUUUCAUGAAUUAACUGUAUUGAUUUCGGUAAAGAAUUUUUGAACAACAUCUAUUUACAAUAGUAUGCAAGAUAUUGUAAGCUAUUAUUGAAUUUACGGUGAAUCCUCGUGCAUUAAAGAGAUUAAAAAAUCUAUAAUGUUUUGCAAGAGUUGCAUUGUUGCUUGAUAUUUGUGUUCUUUCAGAGACAUUAACUUUCCACAUACACUUGGUGUGCAUUUCAAUUUAAUUAUGGCGUUAAAUUCUCAAUUUUAGUUGUACUCGAACAGUUCCAUUUACACUUUCCUACUGCAGGUGCCCACCAAUUUCAUUAAUUAAAAUUAACUGACAAAUAAUAAACACACAAAUUAAUAAACUACCUAGUUUAGUUAAAGUGUUUGCAUAGAGAAUUGAGAAAAGUAGCAAUCACAAGAGUUUGGCAGUUAAGCAAAUUUUGUAGAGGUCGUGAAAAAAAGAUUAAAUAUUCAUUGGAACUUUCUUUAUCAUAAACUCAAAGACAAUGCAGAAUCAAAAACUCAGUUUCAAAAUAAAAACCAAUACAAGAUCUUACCCUACAGCAGGAAAAUUCUUCUACACAAUUGUGAAACAAUUCAUUUGAUUGAUGCUUUAAAUUUGUGUUCUAACUUUUAGUAAACAUUUUUACAAACAUGUGGUGUUCAUUUGGAAUUAACCUUUGGAUUUUGUUUAAUUUAAUUAAUCGAAAUACAUAACGGCGUUUUCACACAUUCUUGAUUCUAGUCCGUACAAUUUCUUUUGAUCAAAACACCUCUUUUUACCCAACACUAGCAUUUGCAUCCCGUGCAAUGCAAUGCACGGAAAAGAUUUUAAAUUUUUAUAUUUAUAUAAAAUUAAUACUAAUUCAAUUGUUAUACUUAUAAAUAUAAUAAAAAAAAUUAAUUUUAAUUGAAUAUAUUUGAAUUGAAUAUUGACAAAAUAAAAAAGAAUUCACAAUUAAAAAAUUUGAUUUUGAAAACAAAAAAAAAGUCAAAAAAAUUAUAAAUAAAAUACUAAUUAAAAAUAAAUAAAAAUAGAUUUAUUCAAAAAAAAUGAGAGAGGAGAGAGAAAUUUAUAAAACUUUAACAAAUUCAAUUUUUACAUUUUAAAAUCAAAUAUUUUCAUAAAAUAUAUCAUAUUAAAACUCUUAUCAUGAUCUUUAAUUUGAUAUGCAUAUUAAAUAUUUUAUAAAUAAUUGAUAUUUCACAAUUUUGGAAAGAAAUAUUGUAACAACAAAUAAAAAGUUAAAGAAAAUGAAAAUAAAAAGAAAAAUACAUAGUUUAAACAUAAAUCUUCAAUUUUAUUAUAACUACAAAAUUGCUACUCAAUUUUAAAAUUAAUUUGAAAUUGAUUUCAAAUUGGAAACUCCCUUUUUAAUAUAGUAUAGGGCAAAUUACAUGAAUUUAAUAAAUGGUUGGCUGAUAUAUUUUGAGUGGAAAAAACAACCCAUUAAGUUAAUUUGUUAGAUAAUUAAUAAAUAAUUAUUCGUUAUUUAAUAUGAGGUCAUUUACAAAAAUAUAAAAACCACAAUUUAUAUAAAUUGUCGAAAAUGACAAAAAUACCACACUUAUCGUGAACGGAGAAAUAUAAUUUAGAAAGAAAAGGAAAUAUUCUUGACCGGAAUUGUAUAUAUAAUAUUAUGUAUAUCCCGUAAAAGGUUUAAAUUAUUUGAUUUACAGAAUCACAUAAGCUGAAUAAACUCAUGCAAGUAGAUACAUAUAUGUCAUACAACAGCUUCAAAUAUUGAAGAAUUAAAGCUGGUAAUAAUAAGGCAAGAAUUAUUUCAAGCAGCUUCAGCAAACCCAACCUUCAUAUUCCCAUAGUCGAAGACGGUGUGAUACUGCGCCAUGAAAACAUCCCCCAGAAUCCUGCAUCACAGCACCAAUAUAAGUCGAGGAACGAGCGAUCGCACAGCCGUAGAUUUGCAUCACAAAGAAGGGAAGAAAUUACCAUAGAGGGCCGCGGGGUGGGGCCACGUCCAAGGCUGUGAAUCCGCUGAUGCACUGAGCUACGUCGCCCUCGCCGACUUUCAGGACGUACUGACCGGCAAGAAUACAAGCACGACGAUAGGUUAGGGUAGUUUUAUCGAGAAAACGAGAAGAAAUCAACUUAUGGAAAGGAAUACAUGAAAUAUAGAGCUAGAUGCAAUGAUGCAAUGUCAAAUUCACGACGAUCCUACUCAGCUUUCAGGUGUCGAAAAGUUUGUGAUAUAUUUGAGCAUCGCAAAGACUCCUAUGAGGACGUCGUCUCAAGUCAAUUAUCAUUAAGAAAAGUGACAAUUAUCGUGGAAAAAAAAAAGACAUUUACUCUAGUGUGCGUGUGUUAGGCCUAUGGUAGAAUGGUUAAUGUCUGAGGCCAAAGGUAUCAGGUUCGAAUCCACCGUUACGCGGUUUUUUAAAAUAUCUGUUUCUCCUAUCCAUAAAAAAGGCAUUCAUUCUUAAUCCUCUAACUAGAAAGAGUCAAUUAUCCUAAAGAAAAGUAUCAAUUAUAACGGAAAAAAAUAUGUGAAAUGUCAUAUCUAUCCGUCAGACGAGAGUUCAUCUCUUUUGAGUAAUUAGCGUAACGUUAACUAGCGUAUGACACCCCGAGGAAGGUCAUGCGGGGCAUUACUUGUAGAUAAGGGAGAACUAAGAUUAAAUGAUGCAAGACAAAGACCAUGACGAAUUGACGAUUAUGAAGGUAAAAAGACAAGGGCAAACAGCAGAAUACUUAAAACGAAAAAGGACUAGAUGUAUCGAACCUGCUCCGGGGUGAGAGCAAAUGAUUUACCACCAAUGGUAAAGGAAACAUUGGGCAUUGAAGAAAGGGCAUUGCAGUCGACAGAUGAUUCGCCCAUCGGACUGGGAAGCCGAUCACAGAGCUAUAGUUUAAAGCAACGAUCAGAACCCAAAAGGAAGAAAAUAGAGGAGGAAAAUACUUUACCAAAAUAGAAUUGAAUUAUCAUUAAAUUCUACCUGAUUAAUAUAGUCCAGAAUCAUUUCUUGUGUUUCGUUCCGCCUGAGUUGGUUUUGCAUCCAUACGACUGCCAUUUCGCAAACCGUGCACAUUUCAUCACGGAGGCCGGGUGAAUUGCUUUCCUUGUCCACCACACUCUCAAUAAUCAUACUGAAUGUAGUUUCGCAAAUAACUCGUGUCAACAACAAAAAUAUGCUAAAAGCUUCUAACGAUAAAGAUGAAGAUAUGGCGUGAGUAAUAUUUAAUCUUUUUAAAAAUAUAUAUAUAAUUCGAACGUAAAAGGAGAGAAGGAACCCGACCUAACAUCUCGAGUGCCAUCAGAGGAGCACAAACCAACCUGGAGCAACCUUCUGAGGUUCAUUCUGUAAAUAGCAACACGAGAAACAGAUCUCGUUAGCUGUAGUUAUAGAAAUACGAUAUUCUGGGCAGGGGAAAUACAGCCUCACUCACCUCAGACAACAACAUUUCCAAUAUGGUUUGCCCAUAAAGGGAAACGACGGACUUGCAUUCCUGGCUUACGACCCCAGCAGCUCCGAUUUCAUGAUUAAUGAGAGUGAUCACGGUCUGCAAGUAGAAUCUCAAAAAAUAUGCAACAAAGAUUAAGUGCAGCAACACUAUUUCCGCCUCCAAAUUUCGUCCAGUACUUAAAUCAGAACCAAUUGAUUGACUAAAAACAAAGGAUUUGGAAAAAUAGCACGACAAUUUAAUCUCGAAAAAAUACUCAUUUUUAGGUCUACUAUAAAUCAUUAAAGAGUACGUACAGUUGGUCCUGUCAGCAACGAAGUUCCAGAGUCUGCAAUUGCCGAGCAGCCGCCAGCGCAAAACCUAGAGGACUUUAAAGAUUAGCUUACAGAACUUCGAAAAAAAAAAAUAUAUAUAUAUAUAUAUAAUAAUAAUAAUUUCAUAAGCCACCUGUGGAUUCCCCCGCCAAAUGAGAACGUCACCCAUGUCAAACUGAAAAACAGAGAGAAAUCAACUUGGAAGUAAGGAAACGAUUGCAAGCAUGCAAAGAUGCUGAGGAGCAAGAGGUUUAGAAGGACACCUGCCAAUAACCCUUCUGAGUGACGGGAACAUAGGUGUGCUCGCCCUUGAAAUGGUUGGGAUCAACGCCACCAAAAACGAGUUCACCACCUUCUUCUUCGUUAGCACCACGGUUAAACCAAAAUGAGAAAACCGGGUCUUUCACGAGACCUUGGUUCACCAUGUUGUACCUGAUAUUGGACGAGGAAAAUAACUAUUAACAAAGAAACUUAAAAUGGUCGGUAAAUGACUUCCGUGCUUAGCCAUUAAUCAAGGAGUUCGUGAUAUAGUGCUCACAUCGACCAGAAAACACGAUAAGACUAAUUUUGAUUUGACUACCCAAUUCAAGCUUCCAAUCUUAUCCUACUAAGAUUAAUUUUAGACCCUAUAGUGUUCAGCAUUAUAGCUUCUAUUGGAAAGUCACUCCCACGUCCCACUAACUUACUUCUCGAAUCCUAGAGAUUCAAGAUUCUUAGUGAAUUAAGAAGCAGCUUUGAGUGAGUGUGCUCGUGUUUGUGCAUACCAGACAGGAACAGCAUUGCCAACAGAAAUCUCCUGGAAUCCAAGUCCGAGAAUGCCAUCAAACUUAGCCGCCAAGAACGUGAUGCCCGGUUCUUUUGUAGCUUCGAUAAAAUCCUAACAAGACAAAACUUUUAUGAGUUAUAUCAGGAAAAACUCGGAAAUAAUUCCUAUAUUUUAAUUGUUUCCCACAUGUACCUGAUCCUUUACCAUAAGGUCACCAAUCUGGACAUGAUCUUGGCUGAAAAACCCGGAGAUAGAUCCACUUCCAUAUUGAAUUGCCGCAGAUUUACCUUCACAGAGAAUGGCCAUAUAUGAAAUCUCAAACUAUUUAAAACAUACUGCAGCAUUGAAUGAGACGACAACUAGUAAGCCUUAGUUAGAGAAAGAGCCAUCAGUGCUUGGAAUAAGCUUAUGAAUUUGCAUUUUUCGUAGUCAACUAGAAGAUCUCGUCUCAUUCAUGUAAUACGAAACUAACAUAAAUGCAUCAUAAAGAUCAUAACAAUCAUCAUGAUGCAUUAGCUGCAGUUCAUACACUGCAUAUAUAGUUAAACACGGAUCACCACACGAAAAAUCACUAUGCAUACCAUUCUUCUCGUAGGUGCUUGAAUGGCUCGACUUGUACUUCGAAUGGAAGAGGCAAGCUACCUGGAUCAAUCAUAAGCAGAAAAAUACUAAAAGAACACACAAACAAGGCGACGAGCUUCUCACUAUAGCUACAUUGAACCAAAAAACUCACAGAAAAGUAGCAUUUUGAUGAUGGCACCCAAAGAUUCGAACUCCCAGUGUCGAAAAUCACAGUGAAUUUUUGUGAGGGCGUCCCAAUGCCAAUCUCACCAAAAUACUGAGCAUCCAAAUAGUUCUUCAAAGAAAUGAUAUCAGCACCCGAAUUUACAUUAACACCGCGAAAUUUGUAAUAAUCCUUCACUAAACCCCCCUGCUUCGACUCAAGGCCAACCGAAACCCGAUUAAUCUGAUUCAAUUUCCUCUUCUUUAAUCCAAUCCUCAGCAGCCCAUCAUCACGAGCAGCAAAGGCAGAAUUGAACAGCACAAAGAGGAGAAAAACUGUGGCAAAGCUGUAUCUUUUACCCAUCCCACAAACUGCCACAAAAUCAGUUAAAAUUGAGAGAGAGUGUGUGUAAAUAUAUAAUUAGCUUCAACCCCUAUGAGUUGACUAUAGAAACAGCAAAGAACCUCAGUGAUCAACAUAGAAAAUUAGAAAUUGAGAGUUCUUUUAUAAAGAUUGAAUCUUUACAGAUAAACUUAAAAGGGUUCCUCUCCGAUUAGGGUUUCUGAUAGUGAAAUUCGAAUUCUGGACACCAUGGAAACCCGCGGACAGUGUUCUUGGUCACAAUUGUUGUCCGACAACAUAAAUCCAAACUCAAAAUCCAAUAAAAACUAUGAUUAUCGAAAAAAAAUUGAAUCUUGCACGAAGAUUUGAAGUUUGCAAGAAUUACCUGGAGAAUGCGGCAGAGAAAUUAUAAAACAGAGAAACAAGUGAGAGCUGAAAGUCAACAGUUGGGAGUUUUAACACAGGAUUAGUCGAUUAAGAUGACCAAUAAUUAAAGAAUAUUUUUAUUUCUUUCAAAAGAUAUUCUGUAAUUAUUUAUUCUUCACAGGAAAAACUCUAAAAAACUGGCAUCCAAAUUCCAAAAUGUGGCUGUACAAAAAAAAAAAAAUUCCAAAAUGUGGUACUCCAAUUUCAGAUACUACAAUUUUAUAAUUAAUUGUUAUAGAAAAGUCUGUGCUUAAUUAGUGAUAAUGAUUUAUUAACAGAUAGACGCUAAUUACUUCAGAAGUUCAGAUAAGGAUGCAGCUGUUUAACAAAAUCAGAUACUUAAUUAAUGUUAGCAGUAAAAAAAUGGGACAAUCAGUAUGUUGCACGUGAAUCUCUUAAAAUUCCUAAACAUUCUUGAAAUAAAUUUUUAGAACUCCAAAUAAUAAUAAUAAUAAUAAUAAUAAUAAUAAUACGUGUAGCAUUUGUUUAGUACUAUCUUUUUUUUUUUUUUUUUGAAGAGAUUUGUUUAGUAUCUAUGUUAGACAAUGGACUGAUUAAUAAAAAUAAGAUAAGUAAUGGAGUAGUAUAAUGAAUAGCUAAUAUUACGGGUGAAGUAUGAAAGUUUUUCAAUAAGAAAUAAUGAAAUAAGAAAGAGUUAAAAAAAAUAUACGUGUUCUCUUAAUUAAUAAUUUAAAAUAUCAAAUAUAUAAAUAAUUUUAAAUUAUUUAACUAUUCAGACUUAUCAAUCCUAUUAAAAAUGCAUGUAGUAUUACAGGAGCUCUAUUAUAUUUUGUUUAAAAAAGUGAAACAAUGGGAAUAUUUUGUGAUGUAUUUUAUAGUUAUGUUUUGUUUGGUUUGAUAUUUAGAAAAUAUAAUGAAACAUUGGAAGUUGUGUAAAUAUGAAAUAUUUUGGGCACUAUUUUCAAUUUUCCUUUAGUUUACCCAACAACGCUCAUGUCUAGGGCCCAUUUGGCUGUUGGUGUAGAUAUGAAAUAGUUGAGUUUUUUAUUAUAAGAAUAGAAGUUGGGAAAGAAAAAAAGAAGAAAAUUCUUUUUAAAAAAAAAGUGAAAAGAGGUAUAGAUUAAGCUACAAAUCCAUUUUAAUAUAUAAAUUACGAAUAGAUUAAUUUUAUAUAAAAUAUGUAUGAAUUUAUUAUAAAUAUUAUGAAUUUAAAAAUUACUAAUAUUUUAUGAAACUGGCCCACAAUGACAAUAUUACAAGUAAUUUGAAAAUAAUAAUAUUAAAUGGAAUUAAUUUUUAUUGCUCAUACCAUUGUAAGCAUGAAUAAAGUAUACUCUUCGUCUCAUAAGACUGUGUCUUUUUUGCUAUUUUGAUAUUGUCUCAUAAAAUUGUGUAUUUUUCAUUUUUUGGCAGUACCCCACAAAAUUCCUUUUUUUCUUCUCCGCGUUAUUAAUUUAUUCACAAUUUUAUUACAUAUGAUACCACCACGAAAUCUUAUUUUUUACUCUCUUCAUCCAUGAUAUAAGUGUGGUAUUUUUGUCAUUUUAGUCUGUCCAUAGUCUUUCGCUUUUAAGACAUAUACUCUUAUAUUUUAUCCACAUAUAUUCACACACAAUAUUUACAAAAUAUUCAUCUCACAAAUCAUUUAUUAAUUAUUUAACAAAUCAAUUUUAGUGCGUCUUUUCUCCUCUUUAUACACAUCGCCCAUUUUUUUCUUAAAGUCUGUGUCCUCCAAUUCAUGACGGAACGAGCAUUUCACUGUCAUAACACUACAAUAACAUAGUACUCACCAAGUUUUUAUUAAACUUCGUGCUAUUCGAAAGUGAUGCACAUUUACAAGUGAUGUAUGAAAUUUUGAAUAAGUGAGUUGGUCACAAUGAUCAAGUUGUAUAUACCGUGUUAAAUUGUUAAUGCUUUCACCAAAAUUUCUAGACAACUAGGAGACGUUUUUAUUGACUCCAUACUUGACUGCAAUUAAUGAAAACGACUCCAAGAAAACAAAAAAGGGAAAGUAACAAAAAAAAAAAAUUACCAACUACACUACUAAACAUGCCAAAUAGAGAGAAUAUGUUUGAAUAUUUGAUCGACUUUAUUUUCAGCCCUCAAACUUUUUUUAUUUCAAACUCGUUGGCUCCACACAAGAAUAAUACAAAUAGCAUUGACAAAAAUCUGCAUGAAUUGAAAAGACUCACACACGCAAUCCUUAAAUUUCUCAAUCCGUACAAAAAUGAUCACAUCUUUUCUGUAUAUAUCCUUUUUUUUAUAUAACAUGACAGUUUGUUUUACAAUAUUAUUAUACUAAUAAAAAUUGAGGGUUUACUUUGGCUUAUGACGAUCGCUAGUUGACUUGAAACCCCGAGCUAUUGAGUUUAUUGUUGCCAUUGCUACUAUUAUUACUGCUCGUGACAUUGCCAUUGCCGUUGUUGUUGUUGUUAUUGUUGUUGCCGUUGUUGUUAUUAGGGUUCGGGCCGCCGUUGUUAGGGCUCGGGCCGCCGCCGCCGCCUAUGAGCGAGGAGAUCGCCGCGGCUAGAGCCGCCGUGAAAUUCGGAUCCGUUGCUAGGGCGUUCACGGUCUCACUCAGCUGAUUCUGCUGGCAAGCUUGAUGCAACGACGGCGGCAGCGGCGACGAGAGAUGCUCGUGGGCCCCUUGGUCGAGCUCCUGCGCCGACGACAUUUGUAGGCCGGAGAAUUUUGACUGGUUGUACAACGCCUGGCCGAAGAUCUGCGGCAGAAGGGCGGCCGCCGCGGAGCUGCCGGCAGCCGCCAUGUUUUGCGACGGAUUGAGGAAGGAGAGGGGGAACUGGUUCGAGGGUUUGGGGAAUUGCAGAGGGUUGGGUGAUUGCGUUAGGUCUAAUGUGAUGGUGGGAAAUGGAGCUGAGGCGGAGAUGGUGGCCAUGCUCGAGGAGCAUGGGAGGAGGGUUCGGGCUAGGAAAUUCGAGUUCAUUAUUCCGUCGGCGCUCGGCAUCGAGCCCGAGAGGAGCAUCCUCGCGGCCGAGGAGGUUGUCGACGCCAUGGCCAUGGCGGCCGGCGGCAACGGGUGGUUGUGGUUGCCCUCGUAGGUCGUUAUGAGGAUGCUCGUGUCGUCUGCACAUCUUUGGACCUAGAUUCGAGAUAUGUGAGCAGGGACGAAGUUAGGAUUUUAAAAAUAAAAAGAAUUAUAUUUUCGUAUUUAGAAAAUGCUUGAACGAACGAAAUUAUAAUUAUAUAUAUAAAAAAUCAAUAAUAAUAAUAAUAAUAAUAAUAAUAAUAAUAAUAAUAGAAAAUGAAUGGGGAAUUACCUGUUUUCGGACGGGGCAACCCGCAGCCAUCGUGCAACGGUAGUACGCACGAGGGCACGGGUUGCCCUUAGCCAACUUCUGCCCGUAUUUGCGCCACUGGCAUCCAUCGGUGAUCUAUAACGCAUCAUCAACAAAUCCCAAAAUCAUUAAUAGAAGCGGAAAAAAAAAAUUAAAAUCUAUGCUUCUGAUCCUAAGGGAGCGUUCAUUUUGUAUGAUUGAUAAGAUGCAUGAUUGAGUAUUUUUAUCCUCAAAGUAAAUAAGGGAUUAGUCUUACUAUUUUUAUCUAUCACGACUGAUCCUCCAAAAUAAACGUCCCCUAAAUCAAUAUAGAGUGACAUAAUUUCUCUAAUCAACAUACCAUGGCGGCCUCAGACCUAGCACGGACCGAGACCCGGGCCUUCCUCAUGGUCGCCUCGGUGGCUUGAUCGACACUUCUCGGAGAGUGAGCGAGCUUCUGAACCUUGCUCUCCGAGCAAGGUUCGUCUCCGCCCACGACGUCUUUGUCGGGGGCCGGGGGCAUGUCCCGGCCAAUCCUCCCCUCGGGCGGAGACAACGAGCCCUCCUCGUUGCCCCCGAAGCCGAGGUCCAUGAACUGCCUAGGCACCAAUAGGCCAUUGUCAUGGCCAUUCUUAC